UUGCAUGCAUUCUAUGCAUAUCGUCCUUUGUAAUUUGUCUACUGGAUAGUUUCUGUGCGUCGGGAAGUUCUCAUGCAUUUAUCCAGGGGCGGAAGAUGCCUCGCCGUACUACGUUGCCGCUCCAAAUGGCCUCAUCGGACGUGCGCUUUUGUGUCCGCUGUCAAAAGUCAUUUCUUCCUUCCUUUAUCGAUUACUCGUGUUGUUCACGUGAUUCAAUGUCGAGUGUACUUCUGAAGACAAUCAACGACUCCGUGUUGUGACAAGCAGUGACUGGUGUUAUAUAAGAGCGAAAGCGUGAGCCUUUUGACGGGUGACUGAAGAGUGCACAGCCAAUGUCAAACUUCGGAACCGAUGCCCCGGACGGCGUGUUGGCACAGUGAGGAUGAUGGGCCAGAGAUCUGAUAGGCAGAGGACAAGUUGCAGUGCAGAAUUGGAGCUGUCUUCCUGCAAGCCUUGACGCGCCUUAUCGAGUGGUUUUAUAUACAGCAGUGGUGCCACGAGAACGGUGCUACAAGAAACCCUUUCAUCAGUGCAAAGUCAAAAAUGAAAUAGAAAUGCAAUUACGUUAGGAAAGGCUCAAUCGGUGUUACUUUGUAAUUAUGAAAUGAUGCUUUAGGAAAAAUCGGAGUGCGUGUUUUCAAAUGCGGACAUUAUUUAUCGGCGUUGAAAUAUUCUAACAUCUAAAAGCAUUAAACUGUUCAUUUGUGUAAA